CGGACAGAAGCCCGCUGGAUGGGGUGUUUAGCUGUUAAUUAAUUUUUUGUGGGAUCGAGGCCCGCCUGUCUAG
rnacentral:tRNA from 1 species